rnacentral:tmRNA from 1 species
GGGGGCGAAUGGAUUCGACGGGAUUGAAGAUCUGCCGAAUAGCGUGUCGUGGUUUUCAGGAGGGCCACGUUAAUAAACCUGAGAAUCGAAAAUGCCAAUUCUUUUGGCACUGUCGCUUACGCUUAAGUAAGUGACCGUUCUGGGCCGGUCUCGCCUGCAGGCUGGUUCAGAGCGUCGUCAAAGCAGGCUCGUUCCGUUUAUCGGUUUGCGUAAACGGAAUUAAAAACAGCAAACUGGCUUUUACCAAGUUUGUCCGCUGGCACGGUAAAAGCGAGAUUCAGCAACGGACUACACACGUAGCGAUUCUGCAGUUCUCUUUUUCGGACGGGGGUUCAAUUCCCCCCGCCUCCACUC